CAUCCAUUGGAGUUGGUAUUUGUGGGGUCAAGAAUUUCAAAACCAAUUUGCUGCUUCGAAGGCACAAAUUGCAGAACCCAAAAAAAAUGCUUGCGUGAAGCCAAGGAUAAGACUAAAAUCUAGAUUCAAGAUUCAAACUUCAAGUAAUAGACAGUUAAUCUCUGUGUCUGUGUGCAAAUUUCAAAUCAAAGUCAAAGCCUAGCCACUAUUGAUCUUUGCCAAACACCCAGUGGCUACGAGCUCACUCUAUAAAUUCCACGGCCUCAUCUUUCUCUUCAUCAUCUUCUCUGUGUAAAUUCUCUCUCAAACAGUCACGUAGUGAAUUGGACUUUCCUGCGCGAUCACUUGCAGGUACCCAAAAAAAAAAAGUUCCAUAUGGAUGAUCCUCUCUUCCUCCUCUUUCUUCCUGUGCGUCCUCUUCCUCCGACGAUCGGUAAAUCCAACUAGGACAGCUACAUUCUACUCUGCAACAUUCCAACGGUUACGGUGAAUACAUCUAAGGCGGCCGUCGGUGAAUAUAGGGCAGUCGUCCUAACUCGCCACCAC
rnacentral:lncRNA from 1 species